ensembl:lncRNA
AUUUAAUAGGCCAGAAGAGGGAGCUAGAGUACUACAAGUGGUACUUAGUCCAGCAAUUUACAAUUUCAUGUUGUUUUUGCACUUUUUUACCUCUAUAACCAGUAAUUAUUAUCAUUUGGAGCUACAUUGGUGUCAUUUGGGUGAACAUAUUCUCUGUUGAACAUCUGUGGAGAGACUGGAGUCUGUUGUAUCACUAUAAGGGCUGUCCUUAUCAAGGAUACCUGCCAUGUUACAGGUCUCAUUACCAGCACUGCUCAUUUUUUUUUUUUUUAAUUCAUUUGACGUGGUAUACAAACAUUCAUAUUCUACAACUUGGUCAUGCUAGCCCACUUGCAUUGUAUUUUGUUCUAUUAUCAAAACUGUAUUGUCAGGGCAAAGCACCUGUGUAAUGCCAGUCAUUUAUACCGCACCUUUUUGUUUCUAAAAGGGUCACAUUUCCUGCUGUUUGGUUUUGCUGUCUACAUUAAGGCUGCAGUAGUCUUUGUUAAACUUUGCCUUAACUCAAGCUUGCUCAGGCAGGGAAUAUUCUUUCAGCAUCCCUUUAACCGCUAUCCAUCUAUAUUUUACUAUAGUUAAAUUUAUAUAUUCAUUUUUACAGUUUGCAAUGGUCUCUUGUUUUAAUAGAUCGUUUUGAUGCAUACCAAUAAUCAUGGCAUUUUAAACUGAUAUUGUGGAAAGGUGAAAAUUCAUUUUAAAUGGCAAAGUUGCCACGUUCACUGAAAUAGACCAGAUAAAAGUGGUGAAUGCAGUAAUAAAUCGUUUUUGAAACAAAUAGACCUAAUGCUAAAAAUCUUGUUGUUCUAUGAGAGGUUGUCUAAACUCAUGAUUAUUACUAUUGGGAUUACCAGGGAUAAGAAACAUGUAUGAUGUAGAGAUGGUUUCCUUACAAGCCUUAAUAGUGCUGCUUUGGUGUUUUUUUUUUUUUGUGAUUUUUAGAUGCCAUCUGAGCCCUGCUAUGGUCAAGGACUGGAACAUUAAUAAUUUUGUAGCAGAUUUUUGGGAUUACUUUCCCCUUAAUGCACUGGUGUUGAAAUAACUGACCGAAUAAAUUGGGAACUUCAUAAAACAUCAAAAAAAUGUGAAAAGUGAUGGCUGUUAAAGAUCAUUACAUAGGUCUGGUGUCCUUAUAAAUUCAAACCCAUGUCCCACAGUACUCUGAAGCAGAACAAAUGCUGUGAAAUGAAGUAAUAUACUAUAUAUAUAUAUAUA